UCCCCCGGGCCAUGCGGCCUCGGCCCCGCCGGCGCCCGCCGCGCACCCGAGGAGAUGAGGCUCCGCAAUGGCACCUUCCUGACGCUGCUGCUCUUCUGUCUGUGCGCCUUCCUCUCGCUCUCCUGGUACGCCGCGCUCAGUGGCCAGAAAGGCGAUGCGGUAGACAUUUAUCAGAGGGAGUUUCUGGCGCUGAGAGACCGCUUGCACGCGGCGGAGCAGGAGAGCCUGAAGCGCUCCAAGGAGCUCAACCUAGUUCUGGACGAGAUCAAGAGGGCCGUGUCGGAGAGACAGGCGCUGCGGGACGGAGAGGGUAAUCGUACUUGGGGCCGCCUAACAGAGGAUCCCCGGCUGAAGUCGUGGAACGUCUCGCACCGGCACGUGCUGCACCUGCCCACAGUCUUCCACCACCUGCCGCACCUGCUGGCCAAGGAGAGCAGUCUGCAGCCGGCUGUGCGCGUGGGCCAGGGCCGCACCGGAGUGUCCGUGGUGAUGGGCAUUCCAAGCGUGCGGCGCGAGGUGCACUCAUACUUGACUGACACGUUGCACUCGCUCAUCUCGGAGCUGAGCCUGCAGGAGAAGGAGGACUCAGUCAUCGUGGUGUUGAUCGCCGAGACUGACCCACAGUACACAUCUUCAGUGACAGAGAACAUCAAAACCUUGUUCCCCACGGAGAUCCAUUCAGGGCUCCUGGAGGUCAUCUCUCCUUCUCCUCACUUCUACCCUGACUUCUCCCGCCUCCGAGAGUCCUUUGGGGACCCCAAGGAGAGAGUGAGGUGGAGGACCAAGCAGAACCUUGAUUAUUGCUUCCUCAUGAUGUAUGCACAGUCCAAAGGCGUCUACUAUGUACAGCUGGAGGAUGACAUCGUGGCCAAGCCCAACUACUUGAGCACCAUGAAGAACUUUGCUCUCCAGCAGCCCUCUGAAGACUGGAUGAUCCUGGAGUUCUCUCAGCUGGGCUUCAUUGGGAAGAUGUUCAAGUCACUGGACCUGAGCCUGAUUGUGGAGUUUAUCCUCAUGUUCUAUCGAGACAAGCCCAUUGACUGGCUUCUAGACCACAUCCUGUGGGUGAAGGUCUGCAAUCCUGAGAAGGAUGCGAAGCAUUGUGAUCGGCAGAAGGCCAACCUUCGGAUCCGCUUCAAGCCAUCCCUUUUCCAGCAUGUGGGCACUCACUCCUCACUGGCAGGCAAGAUCCAGAAACUGAAGGACAAGGACUUUGGGAAGCAAGCCCUGCGGAAGGAGCAUGUGAACCCGCCAGCUGAGGUGAGCACAAGUCUCAAGACAUACCAGCAUUUCACCCUGGAGAAGGCCUACCUACGAGAGGAUUUCUUCUGGGCCUUCACACCUGCCGCCGGGGACUUCAUCCGCUUCCGCUUCUUCCAGCCACUGCGCCUCGAGCGGUUCUUCUUCCGUAGCGGGAACAUUGAGCACCCAGAAGACAAGCUGUUCAACACAUCUGUGGAGGUGCUGCCCUUUGACAACCCCCAGUCAGAGAAGGAAGCCUUGCAGGAGGGCCGCUCAGCCACUCUCCGGUACCCUCGGAGCCCUGAUGGCUACCUCCAGAUUGCUCCACCGUCCCUACAGGCUCCUUCUACAAGGGUGUAGCUGAAGGUGAGGUGGACCCUGCCUUUGGCCCCCUGGAAGCGCUGCGCCUCUCCAUCCAGACUGACUCCCCUGUGUGGGUCAUUCUGAGUGAGAUCUUCCUGAAGAAGGCUGACUAAGCUAACGGCUUCUGAGCGUGCUCUCUGGCCAGCUGUGAAGCCCAGGUUCCAAGGAUGUUGUCGCUGCUGCCCCCUCCCCCCAGAGCCAAGGGUGUCCACCCCACUGGGAGGGUUUUGCUUGGCACUGGGCUGUGGCGGGCCUGGGGUCCGCCGCUGGCCCGGAGGCCCCAGAAGCUGGUGCUGUCUCUGCCUGCUGGGCCGCGGGAGGAGGCAGGCGGCUCCCACACUGUGCCUGAGGCUGGCCUGCUGCCGCCCAAACUGAACUGAACCAUUUGCCGGCCAGCUCCAGCCAGGCCGUUUUUUAGAAGAGCUUUCUCAUGGGUGCCCGCUGUCUCUGGCGCGAACACUGGAAUGCAUAUACUACUUUAUGUGCUGUGUUUUUUAUUCUUGGAUACAUUUGAUUUUUUCACGUAAGUUCACAUAUACUUCUAUAAGAGUGUGACUUGUAAUAAAGGGUUAAUGAAG